rnacentral:rRNA from 1 species
UAAAAUAAUUAAGGGCACACAAAGGAUGCCUAGGUAGUAAGAGCCGAUGAAGGACGUGGUAAGCUGCGAUAAGCCUAGAUAAGUUGCAAUCGAACGUAAGAGUCUAGGAUUUCCGAAUGGAGCAAUCUAUUAAGAUGGAGUCUUAAUACGAAAGAGGGAACCGCGUGAACUGAAACAUCUAAGUAACGCGAGGAAAAGAAAGUAAAAACGAUACCCAAAGUAGCGGCGAGCGAAAUGGGUCAAGCCUAAACCUUAAAUAUGUCAAGGAUACAGCCGUUGUAUUUAAGGGGUUGAGGGACAGAGUGAUGAAGAACUGUAAGAUAUUCAAUAUAGUGUAUUGAUGAAUUAGAAUUGUCUGGAAAGGUGAACCGUAGAAGGUGAAAGUCCUGUAUAAGUAAAUCCUUACACAUAUAACUUUGCUCCCAAGUAACAUGGAACACGAGGAAUUCUGUGUGAAUCUGUGAGGACCAUAUCUCAUAAGGCUAAAUACUCUUACUAACCGAUAGCGCAUAGUACCGUGAGGGAAAGGUGAAAAGAACCCCUGGAGGGGAGUGAAAUAGAACCUGAAAUUGUGUGCUUACAAGCGGUCAGAGCCAGUAAUGGUGAUGGCGUGCCUUUUGGAGAAUGAUCCUGCGAGUUACGUUAAACGGCGAGGUUAAGUAUAACGGAGCCGAAGGGAAACCAAGUCUUAAUAGGGCGAUUUAGUCGUUUGGCGUAGACGCGAAACCUGGUGAUCUAAACCUGUCCAGGAUGAAGCUGUGGUAAGACACAGUGGAGGUCCUAACCCACCGCCGUUGAAAAGUUGGGGGAUGAGGUAGGUUUAGGGGUGAAAAGCCAAUCGAACCAGGAGAUAGCUCGUUCUCUCCGAAAUGCAUCUAGGUGCAGCCUUGAGUGUUCAAUUAUGGGGGUAGAGCACUGAAUGAUCUAGGGGGCAUAUUGCUUACUGAAAUCAAUCAAACUCCGAAUACCAUAAUUUAUAGCUCAGGAGUGAGACUAUGGGAGUUAACUUCCAUUGUCAAAAGGGAAACAACCCAGACCACCAGCUAAGGUCCCUAAUUAUAACUAAGUGGGAAAGGAGGUGGAGAUUCACAAACAACUAGGAGGUUGGCUUAGAAGCAGCCAUACCUUUAAAGAGUGCGUAAUAGCUCACUAGUCGAGAGUCUCUGCGCCGACAAUGUAACGGGGCUAAGUUAUAAACCGAAGCUGUGGAAUCCGUAAGGAUUGGUAGGAGAGCGUUCUGUAGGCCGUUGAAGGAGAAGGGUAACCGACUUUGGAGGUAUCAGAAGUGAGAAUGCAGGAAUAAGUAGCGAGAAAGGGGGCGAGAAUCCCCCUCGCCGGAAGACCAAGGUUUUCAGGGUAAAGCUUGUCUUCCCUGAGUAAGCCGGGACCUAAGCCCAGGCUAUAAUGCGUAGGCGAAUGGAAAACAGAUUAAUAUUUCUGUGCCAGUCAUAUAUUGUGAUGGAGGGACGCAGAAGGGUAUGCGCGCGGACGAACGGAAGUGUCCGUAGAAGUAUGUAGGAUGACUUAGUAGGAAAAUCCAUUAAGUUAUAUCUGAGGUAUGAUAUACAGUCGUAAGAUGAAUGCGCAAAUCCCACGCUGCCAAGAAAAGCUUCUAACGUUAAUAUAUGACUGCCCGUACUGUAAACCGACACAGGUGGUCAGGAUGAGAAAUCUAAGGCGGACAGGCUAACUCUCGUUAAGGAACUCUGCAAAAUAACCUCGUAACUUCGGGAGAAGAGGAGCCCUUGGGUGUUAGUAUCCACGCGAUACAAAGCGCUCGAGGGUCGCAGUGAAGAGGCUCAAGCAACUGUUUAACAAAAACACAGGUCUAUGCUAAGCUGGAAGGCGAUGUAUAUGGGCUGACACCUGCCCAGUGCUGGAAGGUUAAGAGGAGGAGUGAGAGCUCCGAAUUGAAGCCCCAGUGAACGGCGGCCGUAACUAUAACGGUCCUAAGGUAGCGAAAUUCCUUGUCGGGUAAGUUCCGACCUGCACGAAUGGUGUAAUGAUUUGAGCGCUGUCUUGACGGGAGGCCUGGUGAAAUUGUAUUACCGGUGAAGAUACCGGUUACCUACAGUAGGACGGAAAGACCCCAUGGAGCUUUACUGUAGCUUGGUAUUGGGUUUUGGCAUUGCAUGUAUAGGAUAGUUGGGAGACUGAGAUGAUAUGGCGCUAGCUGUAUCGGAGUCAUCGGUGGAAUACCAACCAUUCAAUGCUGAAAUUCUAAUCUGUGGUUUGUAGCCACGGAGACAGUGCUAGGUGGGCAGUUUGACUGGGGCGGUCGCCUCCGAAAGAGUAACGGAGGCGUUCAAAGGUUCUCUCAGGUUGGAUGGAAAUCAACCAUAGAGUGCAAUGGCAUAAGAGAGCUUGACUGCAAGACUGACGGGUCGAGCAGAUGCGAAAGCAGGACAUAGUGAUCCGGCGAUUCCGAAUGGAAGGGUCGUCGCUCAACGGAUAAAAGCUACCCUGGGGAUAACAGGCUGAUCCUACCCGAGAGUCCAUAUCGACGGUAGGGUUUGGCACCUCGAUGUCGGCUCAUCGCAUCCUGGGGCUGGAGAAGGUCCCAAGGGUUGGGCUGUUCGCCCAUUAAAGCGGUACGUGAGCUGGGUUCAGAACGUCGUGAGACAGUUCGGUCCCUAUCCACUGUAGGCGUUAGAAUAUUGAGAAGACCUGUCCUUAGUACGAGAGGACCGGGAUGGACAAACCUCUGAUGUACCAGUUGUCACGCCAGUGGCACAGCUGGGUAGUCACGUUUGGAAUAGAUAACCGCUGAAAGCAUCUAAGCGGGAAACUAACUUCAAGAUAAGUAUUCUUUAAGAUACCUUCGAGCCUAGGAGGUUGAUAGGUUGGGGGUGUAAGUACAGCAAUGUAUUUAGCUGACCAAUACUAAUUAUCGAAGUUUUAAUCUA